CCAGGGUCAUCUUCUUGGCUGUUAGCUCUUCCACCACUUUGCGCAGCAUCUCCUUGGUGGACUCGAGCUGAGCAGUGAGGGAGGACACUUUCUCCAGACUCUCAUUCUUUCCCUGGAUCGCUGCCAUCUGAUGGGAGACAAGAGAGAGCCUCCUGGAUUUGGGAGGACAGGUUCCCAGCCAGCUGCACCACUAGCAGAGGUCAGAGGCUGCUUCACUGCUAAUGGGGCCCCCACUGUCCACCAUCUUCCAUACAACACCAUCUGAGUUGAGAUCUCAGGUUCGGAAGACUCUAGUUUGGACUUUAGCUGAGUCACACAAUAACAUAACAGGAAUUCCAGGAAGAAGAAGUCUUUUAUAUCUGCACAAAUGCUACAUAUCACUUCUUUCUUCUAAGGCUUCUCGUCGGUAUGCUCCCAAAUCUUCUACGUCAAGAAUAAAGCUUAGUUUGGA